rnacentral:rRNA from 1 species
AACGAACGCUGGCGGCAGGCUUAACACAUGCAAGUCGAACGCACCGCAAGGUGAGUGGCAGACGGGUGAGUAACACGUGGGGAUCUGCCCAAUGGUACGGAAUAGCUCCGGGAAACUGGAAUUAAUACCGUAUGAGCCCGCAAGGGGAAAGAUUUAUCGCCAUUGGAUGAACCCGCGUAGGAUUAGCUAGUGGGUGUGGUAAAGGCGCACCAAGGCGACGAUCCGUAGCUGGUCUGAGAGGAUGAUCAGCCACACUGGGACUGAGACACGGCCCAGACUCCUACGGGAGGCAGCAGUGGGGAAUAUUGGACAAUGGGCGCAAGCCUGAUCCAGCCAUGCCGCGUGAGUGAUGAAGGCCUUAGGGUUGUAAAGCUCUUUCGCCGACGAAGAUAAUGACGGUAGUCGGAGAAGAAGCCCCGGCUAACUUCGUGCCAGCAGCCGCCGUAA